AUGCUCAGAGGCUUGGCACUCGCGUUUUCCGUGAGCUUCUUCUCAUGCUACCUGACGUCUGUUCCUUCCCUAGCUUCCUCCGAUGGCCAUGGCUUCCUCCAAUGCCUACGGGAGAAGAUACCCAACGAGCUGGUGUACACGCAGAGCUCCAGCAACUUCAUCGACGUGCUGGUCUCCUCCAUCAAGAACCCCAAGUUCUUCAUCAACGCCACGGUGAGGCCGCCGCUCUGCAUCGUGACUCCUCGCGACGCCUCCCAUGUCCAGGCCGCCGUGGUGUGCGGCCGCAGGCAGGGCGUGCGCCUCCGCGUGCGCAGCGGCGGGCACGACUACGAGGGCCUGUCGUACCGCUCGGUGUGGCCGUCCGAGGUGUUCGCGGUGGUCGACCUCGGCGCCAACCUCCGGGCCGUGCGCGUCGACCGGCUCAAGUCCACGGCCUGGGUCGACUCCGGCGCCACUAUCGGCGAGCUGUACUACGCCAUCGCCAAGAACGAUUCCCGGGUCGCGUUCCCGGCCGGCGAGUGCCCGACCGUCGGCGUGGGAGGCCACUUCAGCGGCGGGGGCAUCGGAAUGAUGACGCGCAAGCAUGGCCUCGCCGUCGACAAGAUCGUCGACGCCACACUGGUCAACGCCGACGGGGACCUCCUAGACGGGGCCGGCAUGGGGGAGGAUCUCUUCUGGGCCAUCCGAGGCGGCGGCGGCGGGAGCUUCGGCAUCGUGCUCUCGUGGAAAGUCCAGCUCCUGCGGGUCCCGCCGACGGUGACGGUGGUCAACAUCGGAAGGACGGUCGACCAGGGCGCCGUGGACAUCCUCACUAGAUGGCAGCACGUCGCGCCAUCGCUCCCGAGCGACCUCACCAUAAGGGUGAUCGUAAAGCAGGGGCAGCAGGCUCUCUUCCAGGCACUUUACCUCGGCUCAUGCGGCGCGCUGGUGGCGACGAUGGACGAGCAGUUCCCGGAGCUCGGCAUGACGAGCGCCGACUGCCAGCCGAUGACCUGGCUGCAGUCCGCGGCCACGCCCUUCCUCAGCUUCGCCAGCAACGGCACGCUGGAGGAAGUGCUCUUGGACAGGACCGCCUGGACGAGCGCCUUCACCAAGGCCAAGUCCGACUACGUCCGACGCGCCAUCCCCAGGGCCGUAUGGAAGGACAUCUUCUCCCGCUGGUUCCCAAUGGACGGCUCGGGGCAGAUCAUCCUGGAGCCCCACGGCGGGUUCAUGGACAGCGUCUCCGCCGCCGCCACGCCAUACCCGCACCGGAACGGCGUGCUGUACGUCGUCCAGUACAUUGCAUACUGGGAUCAGCAGGGUGACUGCGGCGCGGCGGCCAAGAGUUGGAUCGACACCUUAUACGACUUCAUGGGGCAGAACGUGAGCAAGAACCCGAGGCGGGCGUACGUGAACUUCCGAGACCUGGACAUCGGCCAGAACGACGACGACGGCACCUUCGAGAGCGGCAAGGUCUGGGGCGAGCGGUACUUCGUGGGGAACUACCGGAGGCUCGCAUCGGUGAAAGCCGCCGUGGAUCCGACCAACUAUUUCAGGAACGAGCAGAGCAUCCCGCCGCUGAUCGAGACGAUGACGACGCAAGUGAUCUAG
rnacentral:rRNA from 1 species